rnacentral:rRNA from 1 species
GACGUAGGGCGCGAGCGUUGUCCGGAUUUAUUGGGCGUAAAGAGCUCGUAGGCGGCUUGUUGCGUCGUCCGUGAAAACCUGUGGCUCAACCACAGGCUUGCGGUCGAUACGGGCGGGCUGGAGUUCGGUAGGGGAGACUGGAAUUCCUGGUGUAGCGGUGGAAUGCGCAGAUAUCAGGAGGAACACCGGUGGCGAAGGCGGGUCUCUGGGCAGUAACUGACGCUGAGGAGCGAAAGCGUGGGGAGCGAACAGG